rnacentral:lncRNA from 1 species
CACAGUGCUUCCUUUCCUCUGAAUCUGCCAUCAGCUCAGGCAGAUUUCUAAGCAGCAAAUCAGCCUUUGCCAGAACACUGCAGGACACCAGUGCAGCGCCCAGCCUGCGACCAUGAGCCUGUUUGGUGGUCUCUUCACAUGGACGCGAGUGACAUUUGGUGCCGUGACUCGGAUCGGGGAACCUCCCUUGGGAGAUCAAUCCCCUGUCCUCCUGCUCUUUGUUCCAAGAGAAAGAUCCACCUACGACCUCUGCUCCUCAGACCAACCAGCCCAAGGAACAUCUCACCAAUUUUAAAUCGGGCUCUAGGGGAUGGUAGAGUCACAGGAUGGAAGAACUCUGUGUCCUUGAAUCAUUGCAUGGAAGAGAACUGGAAGUUGCCCAGGAACACCAGCCUUGGACAGUUAUGUGAACAAGAAAUAAACUUCUUUUACAGUGUC